AUUGAACGCUGGCGGCAUGCUUUACACAUGCAAGUCGAACGGCAGCGCGGGCUUCGGCCUGGCGGCGAGUGGCGAACGGGUGAGUAAUACAUCGGAACGUGCCCAGUAGUGGGGGAUAGCUCGGCGAAAGCCGGAUUAAUACCGCAUACGACCUGAGGGUGAAAGCGGGGGAUCUUCGGACCUCGCGCUAUUGGAGCGGCCGAUGGCAGAUUAGCUAGUUGGUGGGGUAAAGGCCUACCAAGGCGACGAUCUGUAGCUGGUCUGAGAGGACGACCAGCCACACUGGGACUGAGACACGGCCCAGACUCCUACGGGAGGCAGCAGUGGGGAAUUUUGGACAAUGGGCGAAAGCCUGAUCCAGCAAUGCCGCGUGUGUGAUGAAGGCCUUCGGGUUGUAAAGCACUUUUGGCGGGAACGAAAAGGACUGUGCCAAUACCACGGUUCGAUGACGGUACCCGCAGAAUAAGCACCGGCUGACUACGU
rnacentral:rRNA from 1 species